rnacentral:rRNA from 1 species
GCUGAACCUUAAAGCACCUCAAUAAGCGGAGGAAACGAAACUAACCAACGAUUCCCCUAGCAACUGCGAGUGAAGCSGGAAAAGCUCAAAUUUUGAAUCUGGCGGUCUUCAUAGGCCGUCCGAGUUGUAAUCUAGAGAAGCGUCUUCCGCGCCGGCCCGUGUACAAGUCUCCUGGAAGGGAGCGUCGUAGAGGGUGAGAAUCCCGUCUCUGACACGGACCACCGGUGCUAUGUGAUGCGCUCUCGACGAGUCGAGUUGUUUGGGAAUGCAGCUCAAAAAGGGUGGUAAACUCCAUCUAAAGCUAAAUACUGGCGAGAGACCGAUAGCGAACAAGUACCGUGAGGGAAAGAUGAAAAGGACUCUGGAAAGAGAGUUAAACAGUACGUGAAAUUGCUGAAAGGGAAACGCUCGAUGUCAGUCGCGUCGGCUGGGGGUCAACCCUGUGGUUUACUGCUGGGUGUAUUUCCUGGUCGACGGGUCAGCAUCAGUUUCGGUCGUCGUACAAGGGCCAAGGGAACGUGGCACCCUUCCGGGGGUGUGUUAUAGCCUUUCGGUCGUAUGCGGCGGCUCGGGACUGANGAUACUCGGUGCUUGCGCCAGAGAUGCUGGCAUAAUGGCCUUGAGCGACCCGUCUUGGAAACACGGA